GGUCAAGUUAUUAAGGGUGCAGGGCGGAUGCCUUGGCACUAGGAGCCGAUGAAGGACGUGAUAAGCUGCGAUAAGCUUCGGGGAGUUGCACGUAAACUUUGAUCCGAAGAUUUCCGAAUGAGGAAACUCACUUAGAGUAAUGUCUAAGUAUCAUUAAGUGAAUACAUAGCUUAAUGAGGGGAACUCAGGGAACUGAAACAUCUAAGUACCUGAAGGAAGAGAAAGAAAUUCGAUUCCGUAAGUAGCGGCGAGCGAACGCGGAUUAGCCCAAACCAAUAAAGUUUUCUUUAUUGGGGUUGCGGACAUAUCAUAACGAAGAGGUAUCGUAAUUGAAGAGGUUUGGAAAGACCCACCACAGAAGGUAAUAGUCCUGUAUGUUAAACGAGAAGACUUCAGAUAUGAUCCAGAGUACCACGGGACACGUGAAACCCUGUGGGAAGCAGGAGGGACCACCCUCCAAGGCUAAAUACUACCUAGUGACCGAUAGCGUAUAGUACCGUGAGGGAAAGGUGAAAAGAACCCCGGGAGGAGUGAAAUAGAACCUGAAACCCUGCACUUACAAGCUGUGGAAGCACAUUUCUUGUGUGACCGCGUACUUUUUGUAGAACGGGCCAACGAGUUACGUUAAGUAGCAAGGUUAAGCACUUAAGGUGUGGAGCCGUAGCGAAAGCGAGUUUUAACUGAGCGUUCAGUUACUUGACGUAGACCCGAAACCGGGCGACCUACCCAUGAGCAGGAUGAAGCGAAAGUAAAAUUUCGUGGAGGUCCGAACCCACGAGCGUUGAAAAGCUCGGGGAUGACUUGUGGGUAGCGGUGAAAUUCCAAUCGAGCCCGGAGAUAGCUGGUUCUCCCCGAAAUAGCUUUAGGGCUAGCCUCAAGGUGAGAGAUACGGAGGUAGAGCACUGAAUGUCCUAGGGGGUAUUGCACCUACCGAAGACUAUCAAACUCCGAAUGCCGUCAUCUUAUACUUGGGAGUCAGACUGUGGGUGAUAAGAUUCAUAGUCGAAAGGGCAACAGCCCAGAUCGUCAGCUAAGGUCCCUAAAUGUAAGUUAAGUGGUAAAGGAUGUGGGAUUGCACAGACAACCAGGAUGUUGGCUUAGAAGCAGCCACUCAUUCAAAGAGUGCGUAAUAGCUCACUGGUCGAGUGAUCCUGCGCCGAAGAUUUCCGGGGCUAAAACUUACUACCGAAGCUACGGCAUCAGUAAUGAUGGGUAGGGGAGCUUCCCAUACGGGUUGAAGCAUGACCGUAAGGACAUGUGGACAGUAUGGGAGUGAGAAUGUUGGCAUGAGUAGCGAGAUGUGGGUGAGAAUCCCACAGGCCGUAAACCCAAGGUUUCCAGGGGAAGGUUCGUCCGCCCUGGGUUAGUCGGGACCUAAGCUGAGGCCGAAAGGCGUAGGUGAUGGACAACAGGUUGAUAUUCCUGUACUACCGAUAACCGUUUGAGAGAAGGGAUGACACAGUAGGAUAAGCUAAGCACACUGUUGGUUAUGUGUGCCCAAGCAUUGAGGCAGUCAAAGUAGGCAAAUCCGCUUUGAUAAUGCUGGGAUGUGAUGGGGAGCGAAAUUUAGUAGCGAAGUAGCUGAUUUCACACUGUCAAGAAAAGUCUCUAUCGAGGUUAAAGGUACCCGUACCGCAAACCGACACAGGUGGGUGAGGAGAGUAUCCUAAGGCCAGCGAGAGAACUGUUGUUAAGGAACUCGGCAAAAUGACCCCGUAACUUAGGGAUAAGGGGUGCCACCAUCAGGUGGCCGCAGAGAAUAGGCCCAAGCGACUGUUUACCAAAAACAUAGGUUUCUGCUAAGUCGCAAGACGAUGUAUAGGAGCUGACGCCUGCCCGGUGCUGGAAGGUUAAGGGGAUCUGUUAGAGCAAUCGAAGCAGUGAACUUAAGCCCCAGUAAACGGCGGCCGUAACUAUAACGGUCCUAAGGUAGCGAAAUUCCUUGUCGGGUAAGUUCCGACCCGCACGAAAGGCGUAACGAUUUGGGCACUGUCUCAACAACAGACUCGGUGAAAUUGUAAUUCCGGUGAAGAUGCCGGAUACCUGCGACAGGACGGAAAGACCCCAUGGAGCUUUACUGUAGCUUGACAUUGGGUUUUGGUACUACAUGUACAGGAUAGGUGGGAGGCUUUGAAACCAGGACGCCAGUUUUGGCGGAGCCAUCCUUGGGAUACCACCCUUGUAGUACUGGGACUCUAACCAUAGGCCAUGAAUCUGGUCUUGGGACACUGUCAGGUGGGCAGUUUGACUGGGGCGGUCGCCUCCCAAAAGGUAACGGAGGCGCUCAAAGGUUCUCUCAGUACGGUCGGAAAUCGUACGUAGAGUGUAAAGGCAAAAGAGAGCUUGAUUGCAAGACAUACAGGUCGAGCAAGGAUGAAAAUCGGACUUAGUGAUCCGGUGGUUCUGCGUGGAAGGGCCAUCGCUCAACGGAUAAAAGCUACCCUGGGGAUAACAGGCUUAUCUCCCCCAAGAGUCCACAUCGACGGGGAGGUUUGGCACCUCGAUGUCGGCUCAUCACAUCCUGGGGCUGUAGUAGGUCCCAAGGGUUGGGCUGUUCGCCCAUUAAAGUGGUACGCGAGCUGGGUUCAGAACGUCGUGAGACAGUUCGGUCCCUAUCCGUCGCAGGCGUAGGAAAUUUGAGAAGACCUGUCCUUAGUACGAGAGGACCGGGAUGGACGUACCUCUGGUGUACCAGUUGUUCUGCCAAGGGCAUGGCUGGGUAGCUAUGUACGGAAUGGAUAAGCGCUGAAAGCAUCUAAGCGCGAAGCCAACUUCAAGAUAAGAUUUCCCACCGUAAGGGUAAGACCCCAGAAAGACUAUCUGGUUGAUAGGUCGAAGGUGUAAGUGCAGCAAUGUAUUUAGCUUAUCGAUACUAAUAGGUCGAGGACUUGACCAA
rnacentral:rRNA from 1 species